rnacentral:lncRNA from 1 species
UCCAAGGAGACUAAAAUGCAUGGAAUGUUUUCCUUGUUAUCCAACUCUACAUUGUUCUUCUCUCCUCACUGUCUUACAGUUGCUUCAUUGUACAACUGAGGAUACAAAGGAUCAACCCGCUGAGCCUGAAGCAACAGGUCCUCGGAGACCUGAACCACCUUGAUUAAGGUCCAGCUUCUCCAUGGCUAUACAGAGACAUCUAAAGGAGAGUGCUUCUAACUGUGGACAGAAGAGCUUCUGCCAUCUCUAACUUCAUAGUCCCAGAUGUGAAAAAAAGAAGCCCCAGACUAAUCUCAUUCCCAGAUUACUCUCCCUGGACACUUUGGAAGCCCAUCCAAAAGGCCAUUACAGAAGAAAUGAAGGCUACAUUCGUUGUAGCCUUCGUCUCACCUGAAUUCCUGACUCACAGAAUCUGUGAGUAAGAUAGCGGCUGGAAAUGUUCAGUUGGUAGGUUGCUUGAUAACAUGUAUAUUAAGUCCUGAUUUUGAUUUCCAC